GACGAACGCUGGCGGCGUGCUUAACACAUGCAAGUCGAACGGAAAGGCCCUGCUUUUGUGGGGUGCUCGAGUGGCGAACGGGUGAGUAACACGUGAGUAACCUGCCCUUGACUUUGGGAUAACUUCAGGAAACUGGGGCUAAUACCGGAUAUGAGCUCCUGCUGCAUGGUGGGGGUUGGAAAGUUUCGGCGGUUGGGGAUGGACUCGCGGCUUAUCAGCUUGUUGGUGGGGUAGUGGCUUACCAAGGCUUUGACGGGUAGCCGGCCUGCGCGGGUGACCGGCCACAUUGGGACUGAGAUACGGCCCAGACUCCAACGGGAGGCAGCAGUGGGGAAUAUUGCACAAUGGGCGGAAGCCUGAUGCAGCAACGCCGCGUGCGGGAUGACGGCCUUCGGGUUGUAAACAGCUUUCGACUGUGACGAAGCGUGAGUGACGGUAAUGGGUAAAGAAGCACCGGCUAACUACGUG
rnacentral:rRNA from 1 species